rnacentral:rRNA from 1 species
UACGUAGGGAGCGAGCGUUGUCCGGAAUUACUGGGUGUAAAGGGAGCGUAGGCGGGACUGCAAGUCAGAUGUGAAAUUUAUGGGCUUAACCCAUAACGUGCAUUUGAAACUGUGGUUCUUGAGUGAAGUAGAGGUAAGUGGAAUUCCUAGUGUAGCGGUGAAAUGCGUAGAUAUUAGGAGGAACAUCAGUGGCGAAGGCGACUUACUGGGCUUUAACUGACGCUGAGGCUCGAAAGCGUGGGGAGCAAACAGG